rnacentral:rRNA from 1 species
CGGUCGCCACGGUAAAACGAAGGGUGCAAGCGUUAAUCGGAAUUACUGGGCGUAAAGGGUGCGUAGGCGGUUGUUUAAGUCUGUUGUGAAAUCCCCGGGCUCAACCUGGGAACUGCAUUUGUGACUGCAUGACUAGAGUACGGCAGAGGGGGAUGGAAUUCCGCGUGUAGCAGUGAAAUGCGUAGAUAUGCGGAGGAACACCGAUGGCGAAGGCAAUCCCCUGGGCCUGUACUGACGCUCAUGCACGAAAGCGUGGGGAGCAAACAGGAUUAGAUACCCAGUAGUCCCUGUCUCUUAUACA